UUUAGCUUAGUAUAAUAAUUACAUUUUAUUUACAAUAAAAAGAUGUUUAUGACAGUUAAAA
rnacentral:tRNA from 1 species